rnacentral:lncRNA from 1 species
CUGGGAUUACAGGUGUGAACCACAACACCCAGCCAGUGUCUUCUUGUUACCUUUAAACUGCUACAGUUUAGUCCUACCUAAAAUUCAGUCGCUAUGAAUUUUAAGAAUCAUAGGGUUCUCCAGAGAAAUGGAAGCACAAAGUUAUGGCUUUAUCUAUAUCAUUUAUAUUAUAAGGAAUCGACUCAUGACAUAAUAGGAAUUGUCAACUGCCAAGAUCUGCAGGGUGAGUUGGCAGGCUGGAGACCCAGGAGAGCCAGUGGUGUAGUUCCAGUGUGAAGGUCAGCAGGACCAAGACCCCAUGUUUCAUUUUGUAUCUGAAGGCAGGAAACAGCUGAUGUCCCAGUGAAGGGUCAGGCUUUUGGCUCUAUUUAGGCCUUCAACUGAUUGGACAAGACCCACCCACAUUAGCAAAGGCAAUUUAAUUUACUUAGUUUCCUGAUUCAAAUGCUAAUGUCAUCCACCCUCACAGUGAUACCCAGAAUAAUGUUUGGGCACCCUGGGGUCCAACCAAGGUGACACAUAAAAUUAGCUAUCAUAGAGCCCUUUCCUGUCUCUGAUCACAUAUGCCAAUUCUUAAUGCCUUUAAUCUUCUGUGCUUGGGUGAGGGAAGGGACCAGAGUGAAUUUGAAAUAGCUUAGAAACACAGGGCCCAGGUCUCCUCUAUGUCUCAGUGGCUAUGAAUUUUAAGAAUCAUAGGGUCCUCCAGAGACAUGGAAGCACACAUUUGUGAUUUUCUCUAUAUGAUAUAUUAUAAGGAAUUGGCCCACGACAUAAUGGAAAUUGACAAGUCCCAAGAUCUGCAGGGUGAGUCGACAGGCUGGAGACCCAGGAGAGCCAGGGGUAUAAUUCCAGCCUGGGGGCUGGCAGGCUCAAGACCCUGGGAAUUGGCAGGGCUUCUGAGACACUGUUCAUAAAGAAAAGCAUCCCUUGGAGAAUCAAAUCAUAAAAACCCACCUCCCUUCCAGACUCUGGCAGGUGGGCCCCGACUGAUAGAGUUUGCCUCUGGGAAGUGUGGGCUGAGCUUCUGACACAGCAGCAACAUUCAGGUCAAACACACAACACUGGCAUAGACACCUGUUACUUAGCCUUGACUGCAUGCUGAAACUCCUGAGGAGCCUCCGAAAAUACAGAUACCGGGGUCCCACCCAGAAAUUCUGGAUUAAUUAGUCUAGAUAUGGCCUGGACAUUGGAAUUUAAAAUAAUUAUAAACAGUAGUAUUCACUUUUGUGAAUGUCUAUACAUUUUAUCAUAUGCACCGAUUCAUGUAACACCUGCCACAAACAGGAUGCAGAACAAUCCCAAGACUCCAAAGUUUUCCCCAGUGCUGACCCUUGGAGCCAUUGUAGCUUGUUUCUUCAAUAACAUGAGGGCUGCUGCUUUCUUAACUGAACAAGAAGGAACAUUGGAUCAAGACCCAAGGACAUUCCAACAGUAGAUCCAGAAAGGCGACCCAGUGUGGAAAGAAGAUAAAUCAUUUUUUAAAGAAAAACAGGUGACAAAAAAGAAGACACACAGAAACACAGAGGAGAAGGCCAUGUGAAGAUGGAAGCAGAGGUUAGAGUGAUGCAGCCAUAAGCCAAGAAAUGCCAGGGAGGAAGUUCCUCUACCCAGGAGAGAGGCAUGGAACGGAUUCUCCCCAAGAGUCUUCAGAAGGAAACAACCCUGCCCACACCUUGACUUUGGACUUCUGGCCUUCAGAACUGUGAGUGAAUAAAUUUCUGUUGUUUUAAGCCUCCACUUUGGUGAUAAUUUCUUACAGCAACCAUAGGAAAUAGAUGCAGUGCAGUGUAGGUAGGCUGUACAUGGCAAUGAGUCUGGUGAUGGGCAGAUAGUGAAGAGUAGGAUAUUUUGGCAAUCCGAGUUAUUUUUGUGAGUUCUAUUUGAUCAAGGACCAUUGUUUCUCUGUGUUGAUUUUUCAUAAACUCCAUCUACAUAACAUGAACAAGACUGGUUAAAAAAUUAAAAAAAAAAAAAGCGG